rnacentral:rRNA from 1 species
UACGUAGGGCGCAAGCGUUGUCCGGAAUUAUUGGGCGUAAAGAGCUCGUAGGCGGUCUGUCGCGUCUGGUGUGAAAUCCCAUGGCUCAACUGUGGGCUUGCAUCGGGUACGGGCAGACUAGAGUGCUGUAGGGGAGACUGGAAUUCCUGGUGUAGCGGUGGAAUGCGCAGAUAUCAGGAGGAACACCGAUGGCGAAGGCAGGUCUCUGGGCAGUUACUGACGCUGAGACGCGAAAGCGUGGGGAGCGAACAGG